rnacentral:rRNA from 1 species
CAUAUCAAUUAAGCGGAGGAAAAGAAACUAACAAGGAUUCCCCUAGUAACUGCGAGUGAAGCGGGAAAAGCUCAAAUUUUAAAUCUGGCAGUCUCUGGCUGUCCGAGUUGUAAUCUAGAGAAGUGUUAUCCGCGCUGGACCGUGUACAAGUCUCCUGGAAUGGAGCGUCAUAGAGGGUGAGAAUCCCGUCUUUGACACGGACUGCCAGGGCUUUGUGAUGCGCUCUCAAAGAGUCGAGUUGUUUGGGAAUGCAGCUCAAAAUGGGUGGUAAAUUCCAUCUAAAGCUAAAUAUUGGCGAGAGACCGAUAGCGAACAAGUACCGUGAGGGAAAGAUGAAAAGAACUUUGGAAAGAGAGUUAAACAGUACGUGAAAUUGCUGAAAGGGAAACGCUUGAAGUCAGUCGCGUUGGCCAGGGAUCAACCUUGCUUUUGCUUGGUGCACUUUCUGGUUGACGGGUCAGCAUCAAUUUUGACCAUUGGAAAAAGGUCAGGGGAAUGUGGCAUCCUCGGAUGUGUUAUAGCCCUUAGCUGCAUACAAUGGUUGGGAUUGAGGAACUCAGCACGCCGAAAGGCCGGGUUUUUAACCACGUACGUGCUUAGGAUGCUGGCAUAAUGGCUUUAAUCGACCCGUCUUGAAACACGGACCAAGGAGUCUAACAUACCUGCGAGUGUUUGGGUGGAAAACCCGAGCGCGCAAUGAAAGUGAAAGUUGAGAUCCCUGUCGUGGGGAGCAUCGACGCCCGGACCAGACCUUUUGUGACGGCCCCGCGGUAGAGCAUGUAUGUUGGGACCCGAAAGAUGGUGAACUAUGCCUGAAUAGGGUGAAGCCAGAGGAAACUCUGGUGGAGGCUCGUAGCGAUUCUGACGUGCAAAUCGAUCGUCAAAUUUGGGUAUAGGGGCGAAAGACUAAUUCGAACCAUCUAGUAGCUGG